rnacentral:rRNA from 1 species
GGGAUAACACUGACGCUCAUGUACGAAAGCGUGGGUAGCAAACAGGAUUAGAUACCCUGGUAGUCCACGCCCUAAACGAUGUCAACUGGUUGUUGGGGGAGUGAAAUCCCUUAGUAACGGAGCUAACGCGUGAAGUUGACCGCCUGGGGAGUACGGUCGCAAGAUUAAAACUCAAAGGAAUUGACGGGGACCCGCACAAGCGGUGGAUGAUGUGGAUUAAUUCGAUGCAACGCGAAAAACCUUACCUACCCUUGACAUGUCCGGAAUCCUGAAGAGAUUUGGGAGUGCUCGAAAGAGAACCGGAACACAGGUGCUGCAUGGCUGUCGUCAGCUCGUGUCGUGAGAUGUUGGGUUAAGUCCCGCAACGAGCGCAACCCUUAUCAUUAGUUGCUACGCAAGGGCACUCUAAUGAGACUGCCGGUGACAAACCGGAGGAAGGUGGGGAUGACGUCAAGUCCUCAUGGCCCUUAUGGGUAGGGCUUCACACGUCAUACAAUGGUCGGUACAGAGGGUUGCCAAGCCGCGAGGUGGAGCCAAUCCCAGAAAGCCGAUCGUAGUCCGGAUUGUUCUCUGCAACUCGAGAGCAUGAAGUCGGAAUCGCUAGUAAUCGCGGAUCAGCAUGUCGCGGUGAAUACGUUCCCGGGUCUUGUACACACCGCCCGUCACACCAUGGGAGUGGAAUCUGGCAGAAGUAGGUAGCCUAACCGCAAGGGGGGCGCUUACCACGCUGGGUUUCAUGACUGGGGUGAAGUCGUAACAAGGUAACCGUA